AGACUCAAUCCCCCGGGUUUUCCGGGACGAUUGGAAUUGGACGUUGCCGUUCCCGGCUCGUCUCAAAUGCGUCUGUGGGCGUCCGACCCGUCGGGAGUGAUACGUUUCUCUCGGUCGCGGUGUCGAGACCUCGCUGUCCAACCACCAUCUUAUGA
rnacentral:misc_RNA from 1 species